rnacentral:rRNA from 1 species
AGCAGCCGCGGUAAUUCCAGCUCCAAUAGCGUAUAUUAAAGUUGUUGCAGUUAAAAAGCUCGUAGUUGAAUUUCGGGGUCAGUAGGUUGGUCGUGCCACUGGUAUGCACUGGUCUCACUGAUUCCUCCUUCCUGAUGAACCGUAAUGCCAUUAAUUUGGUGUUGCGGGGUAUCUGGACUGUUACUUUGAAAAAUUAGAGUGUUUAAAGCAGGCUAACGCCUGAAUACAUUAGCAUGGAAUAAUGAAAUAGGACGAUCGAUCCUAUUUUGUUGGUUUCUAGGAUUGACGUAAUGAUUAAUAGGGACAGUUGGGGGCAUUAGUAUUCAAUUGUCAGAGGUGAAAUUCUUGGAUUUAUUGAAGACUAACUACUGCGAAAGCAUUUGCCAAGGAUGUUUUCAUUAAUCAAGAACGAAAGUUAGGGGAUCGAAGACGAUCAGAUACCGUCGUAGUCUUAACCAUAAACUAUGCCGACUAGGGAUCGGAUGAUGUUUAAUUUUUAAUGACUCAUUCGGUCG